UAAAUUGAGAGUUUGAUCCUGGCUCAGGAUGAACGCUGGCGGCGUGCCUAAUACAUGCAAGUCGAACGGACUGUGGUGAUUAUGAUUGAAGAGCUUGCUCGGAGAGAUUAAUCACAAUGCAGUCAGUGGCGAACGGGUGAGUAACACGUGGGAAACCUACCUCUUAGCAGGGGAUAACAUUUGGAAACAGAUGCUAAUACCGUAUAACAAUUAGAACCGCAUGGUUCAAGUUUAAAAGAUGGUUCUGCUAUCACUAAGAGAUGAAUACGUAGCCGAGUGAGAGACUGAUCGGCCACAUUGGGACUGAGACACGGCCCAAACUCCUACGGGAGGCCAGCAGUAGGAAUCUUCCACAAUGGGACGAAGUCUGAUGGAGCAACGCCGCGUGUUGUGAUGAAGGCUUUCGGGUCGUAAAACACUGUUAUAAGAGAAGAACGUCAGUGAGAGUAACUGUUCAUUGAGUGACGGUAUCUUAUCAGAAAGGGACGGCUAAAUACGUGCCAGCAGCCGCGGUAAUACGUAUGUCCCAAGCGUUAUCCGGAUUUAUUGGGCGUAAAGCGAGCGCAGGCGGUUAUUUAAGUCUGAUGUGAAAGCCUACGGCUCAACCGUAGAAUUGCAUCGGAAACUGGAUAACUUGAGUGCAGUAGAGGAGAGUGGAACUCCAUGUGUAGCGGUGAAAUGCGUAGAUAUAUGGAAGAACACCAGUGGCGAAGGCGGCUCUCUGGACUGUAACUGACGCUGAGGCUCGAAAGUGUGGGUAGCAAACGGGAUUAGAUACCCCGGUAGUCCACACCGUAAACGAUGAAUGCUAGUUGUUAGAGGGUUUCCGCCCUUUAGUGACGCAGCUAACGCAUUAAGCAUUCCGCCUGGGGAGUACGACCGCAAGGUUGAAACUCAAAGGAAUUGACGGGGGCCCGCACAAGCGGUGGAGCAUGUGGUUUAAUUCGAAGCAACGCGAAGAACCUUACCAGGUCUUGACAUCCCUUGACACUCCUAGAGAUAGGACGUUCCCUUCGGGGACAAGGUGACAGGUGGUGCAUGGUUGUCGUCAGCUCGUGUCGUGAGAUGUUGGGUUAAGUCCCGCAACGAGCGCAACCCUUAUUACUAGUUGCCAGCAUUAAGUUGGGCACUCUAGUGAGACUGCCGGUGACAAACCGGAGGAAGGUGGGGAUUGACGUUCAAAUCAUCAUGCCCCUUAUGACCUGGGCUACACACGUGCUACAUGGAUGGUACAACGAGUCGCAAAGUCGCGAGGCUAAGCUAAUCUCUUAAAGCCAUUCUCAGUUCGGAUUGUAGUCUGCAACUCGACUACAUGAAGUCGGAAUCGCUAGUAAUCGCGGAUCAGCACGCCGCGGUGAAUACGUUCCCGGGCCUUGUACACACCGCCCGUCACACCAUGAGAGUUUGUAACACCCAAAGUCGGUGGGGUAACCUUCGGGAGCCAGCCGCCUAAGGUGGGAUAGAUGAUUAGGGUGAAGUCGUAACAAGGUAGCCGUAGGAGAACCUGCGGCUGGAUCACCUCCUUUCUAAGGA
rnacentral:rRNA from 1 species